rnacentral:lncRNA from 1 species
UCAUUUCUCCUUUCCUUAGUUAGGUGACACAUGGAAAGUAAAAUUUGACUUUUAUGUUUUAACUUUCCAUAUUUACACUUUAACCCACUAAACUUUUUACCAUGUUUCAAUUUAGUUUUUUAAACUUUCAAUAAUCAUAGAUUGACCUACUAAAAUAUGCUUUUAUCCUUUAGAAGUCCUUUUCACUUAAGCAAGCAUGAUGAAUAUAAACAAGCACCUCAAGCAAGAACGUCGGAAAACCCUAAGCACCUUUCGAAAGUGACUCGUUCCCGACUCGCUAAUCACACUGUCUGCUUUAUUUCUGAAUACGUCUGUUUCUUUAUUUGAGUUUUCUAUGAUUCAGUUAUUAGCAGUUUAGAGUUAUGCUAGCACAUUCCCUAAGGCCACUUACUCUAGUAGUGAAAUAGCCUAGCCCUACCUAGGGAUGUCACUGCUCU